rnacentral:rRNA from 1 species
AUUACGGGGUAGCAAUAUUCCGUAGUCGGAGCGGCGCAAGGGUGCGUAACACGUGGGUAAUCUGCCAUGAAGUCUGGAAUAACUUGCUGAAAGGCGAGCUAAUACCGGAUGUGAAAAUUGGGAGGCAUCUUCUGAUUUUCAAAGUUGGGGACCGUAAGGCCUGACGCUUCAUGAUGAGCCCGCGGCCUAUCAGCUAGUUGGUGAGGUAACGGCUCACCAAGGCAAAGACGGGUAGCUGGUCUGAGAGGACGACCAGCCACACUGGAACUGAGACACGGUCCAGACACCUACGGGUGGCAGCAGUCGAGAAUUUUUCACAAUGGGCGAAAGCCUGAUGGAGCGACGCCGCGUGGGGGAUGAAUGGCUUCGGCCCGUAAACCCCUGUCAUUCGCGAACAAAUUGGUUCAUUUAAUACCUGAACCAUUGAUAGUAGCGGAAGAGGAAGGGACGGCUAACUCUGUGCCAGCAGCCGCGGUAAUACAGAGGUCCCAAGCGUUGUUCGGAUUCACUGGGCGUAAAGGGUGCGUAGGCGGUCGGGUAAGUCUGAUGUGAAAUCUCUGGGCUCAACCCAGAAAUGGCAUUGGAUACUAUUCGGCUUGAGGUCUGGAGGGGGGACUGGAAUUCUCGAUGUAGCAGUGAAAUGCGUAGAUAUCGAGAGGAACACCAGUGGCGAAGGCGAGUCCCUGGACAGGUCCUGACGCUGAGGCACGAAAGCUAGGGGAGCAAACAGGAUUAGAUACCCUGGUAGUCCUAGCCGUAAACGGUGCGUAUUUGCUGUAAAAGGAAUCGACCCCUUUUGUGGCGUAGCAAACGCGUUAAAUACGCCGCCUGGGAAGUACGGUCGCAAGAUUAAAACUC